AGAGUUUGAUUAUGGCUCACAUUGAACGCUGGCGGCGUGCUUAACACAUGCAAGUCGCGCGUGAAAGGACUUCGGUCCGAGUAAAGCGGCGCACGGGUGAGUAACGCGUGGAUGAUCUACCCAUGAGUUAGGAAUAACGGCUGGAAACGGUCGCUAAUACCAAAUACGCUCCGAUUUCAACUUCGGGGGAAAGGUGGCCUCUGCUUGCAAGCUACUGCUCAUGGAUGAGUCCGCGUCCCAUUAGCUAGUUGGUGGGGUAACGGCCCACCAAGGCGACGAUGGGUAGCCGGUCUGAGAGGAUGACCGGCCACACUGGGACUGGAACACGGCCCAGACCCCUACGGGAGGCAGCAGUGGGGAAUAUUGCGCAAUGGGCGAAAGCCUGACGCAGCGACGCCGCGUGAGGGGAAUGAAGGUCCUCGGAUCGUAAACCUCUGUCAGGAGGGAAGAACCGCCACGGUGCUAAUCAGCCGUGGUCUGACGGUACCUCCAAAGGAAGCACCGGCUAACUCCGUGCCAGCCGCGGC
rnacentral:rRNA from 1 species